CUGGUGGUCCGGUGGUGGUAAGUAUGCAGGACAGGAUGACAGGUCCUGCAGCUCUCCUGCCCUCCUGCGUGAUGCUGUGACGAGCGUUUCCAUGGUAACACGCGGCAACAAUCCACACAGCUCGAGGGAAGACACGAGAGCUGCUUCCUCGAUCCCUCCCCCUGUCCUCCCGACCCGGAAGCAGAGUAGGCGCCUGCCGUUCUCAGUGAGCAGUUCAGAGGUUUUGCUAGGAUGUAUUUAAACUAUGAGGGGGGGGAUCUUGAGGAGCCAACUUGUAAAGAGGCCAUACUAGAUUUAGUGUUAACAAAUGGAGAUUUGGUAUCAGAUAUUACUGUAGGUGAAAGUUUAGAAUCCAGUGAUCAUCAGUCAGUGUGGUUUAAUAUAAGAACAGUGACUAAAUCACACCACACAAAAACAAAAGUUUUAGACUUUAGAAAAACAGACUUUUCUAAAAUUAGAAUAUGUGUAGAGAAGUGAUUAUCAGACUGGAGCAAUUUAAAUGGAGUCCAAGAGAAAUGGGAUUAUUUAAAAGCUGCACUAUUAAAGGCAACAGAAAAUUGCAUUAGGC